rnacentral:rRNA from 1 species
UGGUGCCAGCAGCCGCGGUAAUUCCAGCUCCAAUAGCGUAUAUUAAAGUUGUUGCAGUUAAAAAGCUCGUAGUUGAAUUUCGGGGUUAGUAAGUUGGUCAUGCCUCUGGUAUGCACUGGCUUUACUGAUUCCUCCUUCUUGAUGAACUGUAAUGUCAUUAAUUUGGUGUUGCAGAGAAUCAGGACUGUUACUUUGAAAAAAUUAGAGUGUUUAAAGCAGGCAUACGCUUGAAUACAUUAGCAUGGAAUAAUGAAAUAGGACGUUUGAUCCUAUUUUGUUGGUUUCUAGGAUUGACGUAAUGAUUAAUAGGGAUAGUUGGGGGCAUUAGUAUUCAAUUGUCAGAGGUGAAAUUCUUGGAUUUAUUGAAGACUAACUACUGCGAAAGCAUUUGCCAAGGAUGUUUUCAUUAAUCAAGAACGAAAGUUAGGGGAUCGAAGACGAUCAGAUACCGUCGUAGUCUUAACCAUAAACUAUGCCGACUAGGGA